AGUGAACGCUGGCGGUAGGCCUAACACAUGCAAGUCGAACGGCAGCACAGAGGAGCUUGCUCCUUGGGUGGCGAGUGGCGGAUGGGUGAGGAAUACAUCGGAAUCUACUUUUUCGUGGGGGAUAACGUAGGGAAACUUACGCUAAUACCGCAUACGACCUACGGGUGAAAGCAGGGGACCUUCUGGCAUUGCGCGAUUGCAUGAGCCGGUGUCGGAUUAGCUAGUUGGCGGGGUAAGGGCCCACCAAGGCGACGAUCCGUAGCUGGUCUGAGAGGAUGAUCAGCCACACUGGAACUAAGACACGGUCCAGACUCCUACGGGAGGCAGCAGUGGUGAAUAUUGGACAAUGGGCGCAAGCCUGAUCCAGCCAUACCGCGUGGGUGAAGAAGGCCUUCGGGUUGUAAAGCCCUUUUGUUGGGAAAGAAAUCCAGCUGGCUAAUACCCGGUUGGGAUGACGGUACCCAAAGAAUAAGCACCGGCUAACUUCGUGCCAGCCGCCGCCGUAA
rnacentral:rRNA from 1 species